UACAGAGGUCCCAAGCGUUGUUCGGAUUUACUGGGCGUAAAGGGUGCGUAGGCGGUCGGGUAAGUCUGAUGUGAAAUCUCCGAGCUUAACUCGGAAAAUGCAUUGGAUACUAUUCGGCUGGAGAGUUGGAGGGGGGACUGGAAUACUUGGUGUAGCAGUGAAAUGCGUAGAUAUCAAGUGGAACACCAGUGGCGAAGGCGAGUCCCUGGACAACUUCUGACGCUGAGGCACGAAAGCUAGGGGAGCAAAC
rnacentral:rRNA from 1 species